rnacentral:lncRNA from 1 species
CUUUGUCAGUGCAAUAAUAGUGUACUGAUAGGCAGGGUUGGAGGUAGCGGAUUACAUAUAAUUACAAAAAACAGUAACUGUAAUCUGUUACGGGACCAGAAUAGUUUUUGUCAUCUCAUUACAGAUACUUUUAAAAACUAGAUGAUUACUCGAGGAUUACUUUUAAGUUCAGAAAGGAUGUUUGCGAGAAUAAAAAAGUAUUCGACACUUCUCUGUUUUCUCAAUGACAUUCAAAUCAGCAUUGAAAAAAGGUUUAAGUUUGUUCCACCUGAGCAAGUCUGACCACAAGUCAGAGACCACGAUGAUGACACACCAAAUGUGUUUGAUCGAUCGCAGGAUAAGAGCAGGAAUAUGCUUUUGUAGGCUACAGUCCAAGCUAUGUCUUCCAAUGGUGCGACUGCUUUCGGCAUCCAAAGAUUAUCCAACUUGAAAGUGUGGAGCCAGAAUUCAAAAUGGAGUACAGCUCAGCUUUCAACACCAUAGUGCUCACAAAGCUCAUCACUAAGCUAAGAACCCUGGGACUAAACACCUCCCUCUGCAACUGGAUCCUGGACUUCCGGAUGGGCCACCCCCAAGUGGUAAGGGUGGAGAGGGAUCACAGAAAGUAGCAUGCUGCUGACCCGUCCUGGACGAAAGCUGUUGCCCAAUACCUUGCACAGCAGUCGUUUCACCACAGGACCCUAGACAAUCAUGUUCCAUCUGGUGCGGAAUUUUAAUAGGCAGUCAACCGAGCAAGCAUUCUACAUUGACACCUUUGAAAUGACUGGCAUUUGGAGGAGCAAGAAAUCAAAACUUAAGAUUGAUCCAAUGAUGUACAAGUACAAUGAACACAACCACUGGAAUGUGACGGUAAGAGCCACUAAGGCAGUACUAAGAACUAAGAAAUAUAUACAUAAUACAGAAUAUACAUGUUAACACCUACAGUCGUGGCCAAAAGUUUUGAGAAUGACACAAAUAUUAAUUUUCACAGUCUGCUGCCUCAGUUUGUAUGAUGGCAAUUUGCAUAUACUCCAGAAUGUUAUGAAGAGUGAUCAGAUGAAUUGCAAUUAAUUGCAAAGUCCCUCUUUGCCAUGCAAAUGAACUGAAUCCCCAAAAAACAUUUCCACUGCAUUUCAGCCCUGCCACAAAAGGACCAGCUGACAUCAUGUCAGUGAUUCUCUCGUUAACACAGGUGUCAGUGUUGACGAGGACAAGGCUGGAGAUCACUCUGUCAUGCUGAUUGAGUUCGAAUAACAGACUGGAAGCUUCAAAAGGAGGGUGGUGCUUGGAAUCAUUGUUCUUCCUCUGUCAACCACGGUUACCUGCAAGGAAACACGUGCCGUCAUCAUUGCUUUGCACAAAAAGGGCUUCACAGGCAAGGAUAUUGCUGCCAGUAAGAUUGUACCUAAAUCAACCAUUUAUCGGAACAUCAAGAACUUCAAGGGAGCGGUUCAAUUGUUGUGAAGAAGGCUUCAGGGCACCCAAGAAAGGCCAGCAAGCGCCAGGACCGUCUCCUAAAGUUGAUUCAGCUGCGGGAUCUGGGCACCACCAGUACAGAGCUUUCUCAGGAAUGGCAGCAGGCAGGUGUGAGUGCAUCUGCACGCAUAGUGAGGCGAAGACUUUUUGAGGAUGGCCUGGUGUCAAGAAGGGCAGCAAAGAAGCCACUUCUCUCCAGGAAAAACAUCAUAGACAGACUGAUAUUCUGCAAAAGGUACAGGGAUUGGACUGCUGAGGACUGGGGUAAAGUCAUUUUCUCUGAUGAAUCCCCUUUCCGAUUGUUUGGGGCAUCCGGAAAAAAGCUUGUCCGGAGAAGACAAGGUGAGCGCUAGCAUCAGUCCUGUGUCAUGCCAACAGUAAAGCAUCCUGAGACCAUUCAUGUGUGGAGUUGCUUCUCAGCCAAGGAAGUGGGCUCACUCACAAUUUUGCCUAAGAACACAGCCAUGAAUAAAGAAUGGUACCAACACAUCCUCCGAGAGCAACUUCUCCCAACCAUUCAGGAACAGUUUGGUGACGAACAAUGCCUUUUCCAGCAUGAUGGAGCACCUUGCCAUGAGGCAAAAGUGAUAACUAAGUGGCUUGGGGAACUCCCCAGACCUUAAUCCCAUUGAUAACCUGUGGUCAAUCCUCAAGAGGCGGAUGGACAAACAAAACCCCACAAAUUCUGACAAACUCCAAGCAUUGAUUAUGCAAGAAUGGGCUGCCAUCAGUCAGGAUGUGGCCCAGAAGUUAAUUGACAGCAUGCCAGGGCGGAUUGCAGAGGUCUUGAAAAAGAAGGGUCAACACUGCAAAUAUUGACUCUUCAUCAACUUCAUGUAAUUGUCAAUAAAAGCCUUUGACACUUAUGAAAUGCUUGUAAUUAUACUUCAGUAUUGCAUAGUAACAUCUGACAAAAAUAUCUAAAGACACUGAAGCAGCAAACUUUGUGAAAAUUUAUAUUUGUGUCAUUCUCAAAACUUUUGGUCACUACUGUAUUUGGCUACGUGGUAUGUAAACUUCUGACUUCAACUGUAUAGUCUGUUACAAGUCAUGUAAUGAUUAACUGGAUAUUGAAUCACGAAGACUUAUCAUACAUAACGUAUAAUAAAACAUUUAUACAUGCCUCCUCUCAGUCAACAACAAGCUUCAUGGAACAUGGUCUCCUCAAUUGACUCCACACUGAAAUGAAAGUAACAAUUAGCUGUCAGGCUAGGUCUGUAGCUCUAUUUGGCAUAUAAUACAAAACAAUGUUAAUUUGAAAGAGUUAGCUGGCUAGCAUGUAAAGUGGUGAAUUAAAGUACCCUAGCUUUUUCUGUUUUCCUAGCUAGCUUACAAAGGUGCUCAAAUUAGUUCCAACUUUAAUUAUCUAACCUAUAGUUUAUCAUAUGACUUUGGUGUCAUAUAUUUUAAUAAAAAAAUAUUAUUUGUUUACCUUAAUACAUUGAAAAAUAACAUGCUUAUUUGUAGGCUACUUGCAAGUUGGUUCAACCACCAUCCUCUUGCAUCAUAAUGCUGGAAUGGCAGUUUUAAGAGUGUAUGCGUUUAUUAAACACAUUAUUUCCUCUUGCUAGCAUUUAGUUUGCAACAGCACAGGUUUGUAUGAACCUUACUGUUUUCCACUCAGACCUAGGCAACAAUGUUGCAAAAUCUGAAUUUGAUCUUUGCCCUGCCAUAGAGAGCUAACAUGUCAGAUGUCAACUAGCCAUUUUUCUGACCAGGUAAAAUCAUGCAGCAGCAUCAUUAAUAUGGACAUACAUGUCAAUACAAAACAGCUGGAACACUUUUGUGUUUGAUGUGACUGGGUUAGCGUUUGUUUUUCUAAAAUCCCCAUUACACCCUGGGGAAUGGAUAGAACCCUCAUGCUUCUUUACCUUCACUGGGUAAAUACACUGGGGGCACAAAACAUUAGAAACACCUUCCUAAUAUUGAGUUGCAGCCCCUUUUGCCCUCAGAACAGCCUCAAUUCAUCAGGGAAUGGACUAUGAGGUGUUGAAAGCGUUCAAUAGGGAUGAUGGCCCAUGUUGACUCAUGCUUCCCACAGUUGUGUCAAAUUGGCUGAAUGUCCUUUGGUGGACCAUUCCUGAUACACACAGGAAACUGUUGAGCGUGAAAAACCCAGCAGCAGUGCAGAUCUUGACACUCAAACCGGUGCGCCUGGUAUCUAAUCUAAUACUCCGUUCAAACUUACUAAAAUAUUUUGUCUUGCCCAUUCACCCUCUGAAUGGCACACAUAGACAAUCCAUGUCUCAAUUGUCUCAAGGCUUAAAAAUCCAUAUUUAAACUGUAUCCUUCCCUUCAUCUACACUGAUUGAAGUGGAAUUUAACAGGUGACAUCAAUAAGGGAUCAUAGCUUUCACUUGGAUUCACCUGGUCACUCUAUGUCAAUGUUUUGUACACUCAUUGUAUAUAGAACCUUUUUUAGUAAAGGUUUCUUUCAUCUCGUCAAAAGAACCAAAAUGUUCUAUAUAGAACCCCAAAGAACCAUUUUGUGUAUGGUAUCUCACCUUAUACUAUGGUCAGGUUACUGCCCCGAGGGCAGCAACAUCAAUAGAAUCUGCCAUUAUGAUAUACCGUUGUGGUCAAAUAUAUCGGCACCCUUGCACUUUUCUUAAAUAAUUCCCUAUUUCUUCCAAAAUAAGUUCAAAUUGAAAAAAAACCUUUUGGUCUCCACACAUUAUUGGAUGUUCAACAUUGCAGAACCAAUUUAGAUUUUUGAAAUGUAAGUUUAGAAAUUUUAUUUAGAAAAGUAAAACAAAAUACCAGAGGUAAUAUUUGGUUGUACAGCCUUUGGCCUGCUGACAAAUUAUUCUUAGCCAUCAAUGAGCUUGAUGCACCUUUCUACUGGAGGUUUGGCCGAAUCUUAAACUACAAACCACUCCAAUUCUGCAAUGAUUGAGGGGUACCUUCUACCAACUGGUGUUUUCAGAUAUCGCCGUUUUCGAUGGCAUUCAGAUCUGGACUCAACGCUGGCCACUCCAGAACAGUCUAACAUUUCUUGUUAAAUCAUUCCUGGGUGCUUCUUUUGACAGAGACCUAGUUUUGGACACUGGGUUGCACAUUGGACUCAAACACCUUGAUAAUCUGCUGAUUUCAUGAUGCCUUGCAUCUGCUGAUUUCAUGAUGCCUUGCUACCAGUGGCAGCAAAACAAACCCACAACAUUAUCAAACCUCCCCCGCUGCGUGUGUAUUCGUUUUAACCUUCUGAGUAUGAAUGAUUAUAUUGAAGAAAGAAGAUGUAAUGAAGGCAACUCUUAUGAUUAGGCUAUAUGUGGGCCUCAUGAUAUAUUUAACCAGGUAAAUGUAACUAAAUAUAAUCUAUGUAAUCACCAAAGGUCUUAGCCUAUUUAUCAUGAGAGGGCCAUAAACAAUAACUAUUUUUUUGUUGUUGCAGAUGGCAAAAGUUCAAAUAUUUGACUCUGGUGGCAAGUCCUGUCUUCCAUUGUGGCUGACGGCAUUCACCGCCAUGCCUCAACUGCAUUUACCGUCAUGCUCUCAUUGAAUGCCGCCAUGCCUCAACUGCAUUUACCGUCAUGCUCUCAUUGAAAACAAUGACAUCUGUGAAAUAUUACCUGAUUUUCAUAAAACAGCCACACAUUUGGGCUCUCGUUUCUGCAUGACUAAAUUUUGCACAGUGCAAAAGAGUAGCGUACAGGCACGCUUGCUUCAAAUAACUUGUUCAGUGCAGUGGGUGGGUGAUUUAAAAAAAUAUGUGAGCUAUUCAUGUAGGCAACACUGUCCUGUCAAUGUCCCGCAAAAUCAUCCCAUUGUCCCACAUUUGGGUAUUUUAAAUGUUGUCACCUUAGGUUGACUACAUCCAUGAUUGUUUUAAAUAUAAAAAUGGGGUCGCAGGCCAAAUAAGUUUGGGAACCCCUGUCUCAUAGAAUAUUAGCUCAAAAGUAUUGUGGAGCUCCUGCACCUAAAUAUAAACAGUAGUGGCACCCAAAAUGAGUACCAGCACCUAGUCCAUUCCAAGUCAAGCACUGGAUAUAGAAAGAUAACAAAAAAUAGCCUAGCACCAGAAAACAGAAAUGCUAACAAACGGCUAAUCGCUAAUAGGCAUGCUAAUUCCUAAUGCAUUCUAAAUGAAAAUGCUAAUGCUAGCAUGAGCACGAGCUAGUUAACAAGCUCAACAUGAAUGCUGAUUACAACAAUAGGCAAUCUUGAGCUCUGAAUACAACAAGACAACAUCUUAAGGCACUUAGGCCUACUUUUAGAUGGACACACAAUAAAACAUCACAUCAGCAAAUGUAUUGUGACUACAAGAGGAAGAGUAGUAGGAGGGAAAACAUAAAAUGCUCAUCAGGAUCAGGGAGAGUGACUGCCUCUCAUUGAAGCCACGGAAGUUCAAGGCAGACCGCGGUACUGCAGGCAUUGUUAGCAAAAACAGGAUCCCCAUUAUAGUGAAAAAUUGCAAUCUUCCUGUAAAUAAAUAAAAACGUUUUGAAGACAAUCCUGGUACCAAUAAUUGCUUCUAUUACAUCAGAUGUAUGGCCUUGAACCGAUUAUUUUUAAAUCACACGCAGAAGAAAUUAUAAGGAUAAUUGAGUUAAUGGCAGCCUGCAGUAUCCAGGUCGGCUUCAACUUGAGUUACUCAAUGACCACGUUUACAUGCACACAGUAUUCCAAAUAGCUCAUAUCCUCAGGGCUGACAACUUUUGAAGAAAGCUUGGAGUGAGAUUUGCUAUAUGAAUUCCAUUGCCUCCUGGCAUAACCCCUAGAUGGGGGUCUGGGUGUCCUCCCCCAGGAAAUGUUACUGUUUUAAAGCUUAUUUCCCAAAAUUCUACCUAUUUCAAUAUGGCUUAGGCCUUUGAGCAGGUUAGAUUUUUUUUGUAUAUGCCACAGUUCAGGUGUAUUCAGGAUGCCUUGAAUAUUAAAUGAACACUCAAAAUUUGACGACUUUGUUACUUUGAGAUUUUUGGGGGAUGAAAUUUAGUAUGGUAAUCAUUUUUACAAAUGUCAAAACAUGGGUGGUUUGACACUUUCUUUCAGACAGUAAGGAAAUGGGGAGAAACAGUGGGAAGGUUGGAAACAGGGAUUAAACCCUGGUCUCAGGUGGAAAGUUGUAUGCAACAUGUGCCAGGGAGUGUUACCACUACACCAAGGCUCUGCAGAGGAAAUACUAAUAUUAAUGGUUGAUGGCAGUGGGUAACUAAAUCAUAGAUUGCAGUCUCCUUGUCCAUAGGCUGCUUUCAAGGUAAGGACACAAACAUUUUGUAAUUUGGGUGAACUCUCUUCAAAAUAGCGAUGAAAGAAAACCCUGCUUGCUCCAUAGGAGGGUUGGCAAAUACUGAUCUAUGUUUCCCAAGUGCUGGGUGUUUGAAAAUGUUCUUGUUAUAACAAUUAAUUUAUCAAAAUCACCCAACCUUCAAGAAAAAGAAUCAGGUGGUAUUUAUGCCUACUAGUUGAAGAUCCUUUUCAUCAUCUUACUCUGCAUAGACAAAAUAUGAUGUGUUUAUGACUUGUGAGUCCCCUCUACCAUCUCUGCCUAGUAUGUGCACAAUACUAAAAUGUAAAAAAUGAUAUGUGAGGCCUGGAGCAUUUAAUAUCCAAUGCUUAUUUGUAUGACUUAUUCAAAACUGUCCAUGAAUGACAGCAAAAAUACAUAGCCUCAUAUGAUUAAUUUUGAAAGACACAAGUAGGUAUAUCAGAUUUCAAAUAUGUGAUUACACUGGCAAAAUUGUGAAGAAGCCGAAUAAUAAAAUAAGUGUGGGGAAUAAUAGUAGUGUUCUUGCUGACAAGUACACUAAUUACCCUAUAAUUGUUAGAUUACAUGUUAGAUAUUGCUGCACUGUCGGAACUAGAAGCACAAGCAUUUCACUACACUCGCAAUAACAUCUGCGAACCAUGUGUACUGUAUGUGACCAAUAACAUUUGAUUUGAUAUGAUUUUAUCCCAUUGUUAAGAAUGAGAAUUGUUCCAAUGAUCAGGUAAUAGAUAGAUAUUAAAUGUUGUGAAGACAAGAUGACCCUACACCCUAACCAAAUUAUUUUUAUAUUUAUUUCCCCUCUAGAAUCAGGUCACCCUACCUUCCCUGCUAAAACAUAGUGUAG